GUGUGGACUAAUAAUUUUAACAUCUAUUCUAACUGUCAGGUCAGCUAUAGCUUUGAUGAGCUCAUACAAAUCUUUGUCAUGGUGACCUUCAGCGAUCUUGGUCUUUAUAGACAAGCUGUAUAUUUUGUGGUCCCGAAUUUUUCCUUUGCUUUAUGUUACUGGAGAGUCUUAGAAAUUGCCUUGAAUAUAUUCUUGAGAGGACUCUUUAACCCCUAUUUAGAAUUUUUAUGUAGUAGCUGCUCACAAAGACUUGGAUUCUUCCUUUAGCCUCAGCAUUCGGAAAGUUAAAAUACUAAGUAGCUUUUGGUUAACAAAGAGAUGUUCUGUGACGGUGUUGGAUCACUUUAUUUGUGGAUAUUUCAUCACAUGCCAUUUUAACCUUGAUAAUUUAUUUCAAAAUUAAAUUACUUUUCUAAUUCAUUGUGUUAUUGUGCAAUAAAGCUUGAACUAUAAACACUAGAUUAUCUAAUAAUUACAUAAAAUUAGAAAUUACGUCUAGAUAUUUUAGUCAUGAAAUUUUUAUGCUGUCCCUCCCCUCCUCUUGAUCAUAAUGUUUAACGAAUAGAGAAAAUCUCUGAUAAUAAAUAUAACUUUUAAUGCUAGAACUUAAAUUAUAUAUAUAUAUAUAUAUCAAUAGAUGUAUAUCAAUUUCUUCCUGCUAUUACUGCAUCAUAAUUCAUACUUAUUUGUGCAUAUUCCAAUAAACAUUGUACUUAACUAAUUAGUCAUCCUAUGUUAUAAAACCUCAAUAUCUAGUGAAGCAAUAAUAAAAAUGUUGUUGUUAAUUUGUUACUAAAGUGUACAUGAUUAGGAUUUAUGAUUUCUUACCACUAAAAAUAAUAUAUGCAUUAAUUUAGAAUUCUUUGUAAUGCAAAUUUUUUUGUAAGUUUCCAUACAUUUAAGAAAACAAAUAUUUCUAAUAAUGUUAACAAUAUUAAACAUUCUUGAAAGUUAUUAAAAUUAAAAUGGUCUAAUGGUAAUCCUAUCUCAUUGACUUGAAUUACUCCUUUAAAAAAACAACUAUUUUUGCUCACUUAAACCAUUGGUUUAUAGUAGUGUCUGAAUACAUUUGUGUUUGUAUUAUAAUAAAAAAUAAAUACAACGUACCUGUAUUUUACUUUCGUGUUUCUUACGUAGUGCUGAUAGUUUUAAUCCCAUUGUAUCAGAAUCAGAAUGUAGCCUACAAAGCAAAUAUAUUCAAAAUUAUAUUGAAUUAAAGUAUUACAUGUUUUCUAUACAAUCAUUGUAUAUUUUUUUUUAUUUCAAGACUAUGUCAAAUUUUUUUUUCUCUUAUUUUGUUUUACAUAACUUGAUCUAUGUACAUAAUUUAAGGUGUAAAACUCAUGUUUAUUUCUCUUUUCUUUCUGGAAAACAAUAUAGUAAUAUAAUAUAUUUGUAAAUGACUUACAUUUAGGGAAACAAAGACCGACUGUUUUUAACUAGCAAAUAAUGAAUUAAUUUCUCAUUUGAACAGUUACAUCCUAGAUUAAGCUAGUAAAUAUCCUUCUUUUACUUUGAAAGUUAUUCCUCUUCAUUUCCCUUUUUGAAGAAGAGCAAUACGUAUGUAUUACUCCUAGCCAGUUAGGGUUCCUGGGGAGAGAUUUCAGCUCCAAACGUAUUUAGGUUUUCUUGGGUUACGAAAUCGUAAAAAAAUAAUAACGUUUGUCAAUCUAUUAUUGUAAGUGCAAAAUACCACUGACUGGUUCAUUGAUUAAGAAAUCUCUCAAUUAAACUGUCAUACAUGUUUCAUCUAACUCUAUGGUGUUCACUAAGAACAGGAUUUGACACAUUCACAACCGGACGACCACUAUUAGCAAACUAAAAAAAAAAACGAAAGCUUUCUACCAAAUGUUUGUAUUUUUUCUGUUAUUCCAUAAAAGGCCUCAGUCUAAAAAUGAAACAUUUUUUAAAUAUCACGAAAAAAAAUCAGUGUUUUUAAACUACAUUAUUUUUUCGUAAGUCUAGUUAUUUUUAAUAUACCCUACGUCAUUUUCCCUUCCCCUUUAAAAAAAAAGAUCCUUAAAGACUAUAAUUAUUUUUCAAAAGAUAGAAAGACACAAAGAGCAAGGAAUGGUUAUUUGUAACACUAAUUGAAUUAAAAAGUCAAUUCUAGAUGUAUUGUCUUUUACUACAUUUAAAAAGCCACAGAUAAACGAUUACAAUAAACAGAACAAAAUUUAUAUUUUUUAGACAACAAAAUAAAUGUGGAAAGGGGAACGGGAAUGUGGCAUUUAAUUUGGGCCUUAGGAAUAUGUAUUUUUCCUUAGUCCUGAAAACUGAUAUUAUGAAUUAACGGAUUUGAUGGAUAAUACCACUUGCAUUAUGAUUAAGGUUUAAAAAAAAAGUUAAUCAAAUGGGGAGGUUGCGGUCGAAAUAUAAUAUAGAUUGAAUUGAGAAGCAGAAAUUCAUAGAGUGUACGAAGGACUUACUUUUUUUUUUUGGUGUGGGAAAAGUAGAUAGGUAAAAAAUUGCUACUAAAUUAAAUGGCAUAGAUAUGAGUCUGUGUAUGUGUCCGGGGGACAUUCUGAAACGUGUAUUUCCAAAAGCAAGUCAAAAGUCUUAUGUCGAAGAAAAAAUGUGUUUGUGUGUGUGUGUGGGGGGGGGGGGAGUCCAGAGAGUGUGAUUGAAAGAAAGAAAGAAUUAGCGGGCUGUGAAACUUCAUUGUAACAGAUACACUAAUUCACGGGCUAAAAUGUAUGUUAUGUUAAUCUUAAAAUGUGGCUUGUUUAUUUAAUUUAAAAGAAAAGAAGGAGGUGUUUCGCAAUAAUAAACGAUAUAAAGCCAGAGUAUAAAUAUACGAAGGUAACCUCUGUGUUCAGCUAGUGUUAAAUAAAGAAGAGAGUAGAAUAAACUAUUACUACAGAAGUGAAAGACUUUUGAGUACCUUUAUCGGUAAAUUUUCCUGAGCUUAAACGUCGUAAAAAUGUCUUUUUAUCAAGUAAUAUGUUUUAUGUCAAUUUUUACUUUAAAUUCCAAAUCAUUUAGUAUGCUAAAUAAUAUUUAUAUUUUAUUUUAAUGAAAACAAAAAGAGAAAAAACAUGGUCAGUAUGGUUUCCGAAAUUCAAGGUUUAAGAUAAAUUAUGCAUUUUUAUGUGGCAUGAUUGACUUGAUUUCUUCAAGGUUUCAUUUUUACCAGGUAGUAUUGUAAAAGUUCUCACUUUAAAGGCUCUCUGCAAACAGUAUCAGUCGACAUUACCAACAGAAAUUACUUGACAAUUCAGGGCUUUAAUGUCUAAUAAUAGCAGCCAAUAUUUUACAAUUGCCAACUUAUAACAUUGACUAAACAAAUGCUUUACUAAUGAUAACCAUAAUGCCUUAUACACUAAUGUACUGCUGUAUCAAACUCUACCGGCCUCUCAGCCACUUCCCAGAUCUACACUGUUUCAAACUGACUUUACAUUGCACUGAACUAUACUGAACCACACAGAAAUGUCUUAAUUGUGACUUCUUCGAUCUUUAUAUACCUAACGAAAGUCUUCUAGAACCCAAUGGAUCAUUGCUUGUUUGCCUAAGUAAUUUAUGUUAUCUGGCUACACAUAGGAUUACCCCUAUUCAUAUAACAACCAGAGUUAUAACAGUAUGAAUUAGAAAUAAAGAUAUCAUGGAUUACUCACAAUCGAU